AGCGAACGCUGGCGGCAGGCCUAACACAUGCAAGUCGAACGGACCCUUCGGGGUUAGUGGCGGACGGGUGAGUAACACGUGGGAACGUGCCCUUAGGUUCGGAAUAGCUCCUGGAAACGGGUGGUAAUGCCGAAUGUGCCCUUCGGGGGAAAGAUUUAUCGCCUUUAGAGCGGCCCGCGUCUGAUUAGCUAGUUGGUGAGGUAACGGCUCACCAAGGCGACGAUCAGUAGCUGGUCUGAGAGGAUGACCAGCCACACUGGGACUGAGACACGGCCCAGACUCCUACGGGAGGCAGCAGUGGGGAAUCGUGCGCAAUGGGCGAAAGCCUGACGCAGCCAUGCCGCGUGAAUGAUGAAGGUCUUAGGAUUGUAAAAUUCUUUCACCGGGGACGAUAAUGACGGUACCCGGAGAAGAAGCCCCGGCUAACUUCGUG
rnacentral:rRNA from 1 species